ACGGGAGGCAGCAGUGGGGAAUAUUGCACAGUGGGCGAAAGCCUGAUGCAGCGACGCCGCGUGAGUGAUGAAGUAUUUCGGUAUGUAAAGCUCUAUCAGCAGGGAAGAUAAUGACGGUACCUGCCUAAGAAGCACCGGCUAAAUACGUGCCAGCAGCCGCGGUAAUACGUAUGGUGCAAGCGUUAUCCGGAUUUACUGGGUGUAAAGGGAGCGCAGGCGGUACGGCAAGUCUGAUGUGAAAGCCCGGGGCUCAACCCCGGUACUGCAUUGGAAACUGUCGAACUAGAGUGUCGGAGGGGUAAGUGGAAUUCCUAGUGUAGCGGGGAAAUGCGUAGAUAUUAGGAGGAACACCAGUGGCGAAGGCGGCUUACUGGACGAUAACUGACGCUGAGGCUCGAAAGCGUGGGGAGCAAACAGGAUUAGAUACCCUGGUA
rnacentral:rRNA from 1 species